GAUCAUGGCUCAGGAUGAACGCUGGCGGCAUGCCUAAGACAUGCAAGUCGUACGAAGGGGCCCAAUGAAAGGAAUUGAAAUUCAGAGUGCUUGCACAAAGAAUGGAUUUUCUUGGAUUUGGAUUUUCCCCUUAGUGGCAAACGGGUGAGUAACACGUGGGUUACCUACCUCUAAGAUGGGGAUAACAGUUGGAAACGACUGAUAAUACAGAAUGUGCUCGUACGGAAGUAAAGAACGUACCCUUAAAGCUUCGCUUAG
rnacentral:rRNA from 1 species